AUCUCUUAUUACUCAGGUUGUUCUUUUGGAUUUUACUUCAUCUAUUCACAUGGAAUUCUUGUGGUGAACAGGGAAGAACUAAACGUAUUUUCAGGAGAGAUAGUCCGCUUUGGAAAUCGGUGUAAAGAUCCUCAGUGGCACAAUCUCGAUCGCUAUUUUGAGAAGCAUGGUUUAGAACGAAUAUUUCAACCACAGUUAAAGCAAGAUGUGGAUACAGUCAUGCAGCAGUUGAUGACAAUGGCUCAGUACACAGCU